UUCUUCCUAAUUCUUCCUGAUUCUUCAGUGGCCUGUGUUUCUCACCAGAUUGUUCUCAUUUCCUGUAACCUUCACUUCUCUGCCUCUGACAAACAUCCCUUGGAUCAAGCCUGUGACAACUGUCUUCCCUUAAACCUGUAACUGUCUUACAUGGACUCCUUAAGCCAGAGUCUAUGUGCCACAUAUCUCGGUAGAUUUUGAACACUUUUCUCUGUGUUUUGUACAUGGACUUAUCAACCUUUUCUCUGACAUACACAUGACACACAUAGAGAAAAGAGAUAUGAUUUAAAAGUAUUCAAUUAACUUGAGGAAAUAUCAGCUUGAAAUGUAAAAGUUUUCUGAAGAUAAAGUACACACAGAUAGUCCAUAGUUAGCCAUGAGGAAUUUCUUUUGGUAGGCCUUUGCCCAUUCAUUGUAUUGAGUAAUAGAAGCGUACUUUAUAAUCUUAUCACAUUUCUUUAUUUUCUAGGGUCUUUUAUGCAUGUGGAUAUAAGCAUGCUGCUGUAAUAAGCACUGGCUUUCUUGUUGCUGCCAGCAAAUGUUUCUUACAGCCCAGUGGCUUGUAACAUGCUCUGGUGCCACAAAUCAGUAGCAGUUCCCAAACAGAGUGACAUGGCUGUGUACAAAC
rnacentral:lncRNA from 1 species